rnacentral:rRNA from 1 species
AACGAACGCUGGCGGCAGGCUUAACACAUGCAAGUCGAGCGAGACCUUCGGGUCUAGCGGCGGACGGGUGAGUAACGCGUGGGAACGUGCCCUUCUCUACGGAAUAGCCCCGGGAAACUGGGAGUAAUACCGUAUACGCCCUUUGGGGGAAAGAUUUAUCGGAGAAGGAUCGGCCCGCGUUGGAUUAGGUAGUUGAUGGGGUAAUGGCCCACCAAGCCGACGAUCCAUAGCUGGUUUGAGAGGAUGAUCAGCCACACUGGGACUGAGACACGGCCCAGACUCCUACGGGAGGCAGCAGUGGGGAAUCUUAGACAAUGGGGGCAACCCUGAUCUAGCCAUGCCGCGUGAGUGAUGAAGGCCUUAGGGUUGUAAAGCUCUUUCAGCUGGGAAGAUAAUGACGGUACCAGCAGAAGAAGCCCCGGCUAACUCCGUG